UAGGUCAAGGCCAGUUGGUUAGGGUAUUUAGCUGUUAACUAAAUUUUUGUGGGUUCGAGUCCCAUUGACCUAG
rnacentral:tRNA from 1 species